GAGCAAACUGCUUCCCUGUCAGCGCGGUGCCGUUCCCACCCCAGUUCUCGUGUGAAACAGUUGUGAGUAGGUCCACAUCGCUCCUGGAAAUACACUGCUGAGGUAUUCAGCAAAAAGCAGAGCAUCCAACCUAAUUCUUCUCUCCUCUGAAUGUUUCUGUUCUCUUAUGCUGCCUAAAUGAGACAGGUGGAAGACAGCUUUAAUUAGGACUUGGCCAUAAAGCACCAGGAUGUUAUCAACAAGAUCACAUGCAAAGUGCAUCCCCUCAAAAUGAAAAGAGUACCCCUUUUCACGGGUGGAUGAAGAAAGAAAUAUGAACAGCAAGUCUGGCAAGAAAUGUGGCUGUCCCAGCUCGGGGGCAGAGCUGUGGCAUGGACUGCUGCUGCUCACAUAUCAGAACUAUCCAUGGCACAAAAAGCAGGAGCAUGAGCUAUCUGAUUUUAUGUGAAAUUCCUUUAGAUCCCAAUUUCUAAAAGCGCAAUCGGAUCGCUUGGUGCUGCAGAGUUUAAAGUAGGUGUGAAUGUGAAGGUUCCUUAGAGAAGGAAAGACACCUCAGUUGAACAGAACACAGGAAAACACCGAAAGGAGAAUUGAAGCAAAUGUCUUACUUGGUAAUAAUAGCGAUGAACUACAUUUAAAAACAUUUUUAAUUAUUAUUUGCAGGCUGGAAGCAUUUAACCUAUUACUGUUUAUAGAAGGAAGUUUUCAUAUUCUGUGGCAGAAUUUAAAUUAAAAUCCUCGCUAUGGUAUCAUUCUGAUAAUAAUUUAAUUCUGGGACUGUUGCCAUCGUGUAUUUAUAACACAGAAAUUUUUGCAACUGGAAGAGCUAUCCAUAGUAGUCAAUAGACUGAGUUACGCCUGUGAUAGUGCAGUUAUCUAUUACUUUAAUAUGCUAACUAGGAUUUCAGUGUAGCUGCUAGCAUGGAAAAUCUUUUAAAACACAGUAUAUUAACAAAGUGGAGGGAACAACCCUGCUUGUUCUUUUACACUGAAUAUUUUCAUGGUUUGACUUUAGAUAUUCCCCUGCUAAGAAAACUGCUGUUGUUUACAUAAUGCUGAACUUGGGUUACCCUGCAGGGAGUUCAUGACAUACAAGCCAAAUGUUUUAAUAAUUGUAACAACUAAAUUUGAUGGUGUUUAAUAUUCUUGCAUUCAUAAUGAAGCUUUGUUGACUGUUUAGUCUGUUAAUUCUUAUGUAAAAUGUUGCCUGCUGCGGUGGAACAAAAUACGCCUUCUUCCUUUGUAUUAAGAUCAAUGAAAAACAGCAUUUGAGGACAAUCUACAUCAGACCUAUUAUGAGUACUCUACAAAUUUGUAAAAUAUAAGAUGAUGUAUCUGUUAUUUUGGUGCUGUGUAGAACCAGCAAGUUAAUCUCUAAGUACAACAUUUAAACAGUAAGUACAAGAAAAGCAUUGAGAGAUUUUCAUUUGCAUACCUUUAGAGUCUGUUGAAAUUAAGGAACUGGCAACUACUGAAAUUCAGAAACUGGCAUUUUAUUUUAUUUAUUCUCUUUAUAUUUCUAUAUAUGUAUUAUUUUUUCUCUAUGUGUAUUUACUAUAUUUCAUUCUAUAACAUCUAAUUGCUGAAAUCCUAUCUUCUGCAUUACAUCAGUGAGCAGCUACAGCAGUACUUUGGGUUUUGGUGUUGUUUUGUUGUUCGUUUUUUUAUUAUGACAGCAGAUGAAUUGGUAAAUUGGUUAUCUAACAGCUGUUUUACAUUUUCAAUUUACCAGUCUUUGAUGAUGUCUUGUUUUGAAGAGUAUUUUCCAGACUAAGACACCAUACGAUCCCUCUGUAUUUCUGUAACAUGUAACUCGACCUUUUAAUUUGUUGCUAAUUACUCUUAAAUGGCUGUUUGCUGAGCAAGCUAAAGAAAUGUAGGAAGUCAUUCCACCUGUGGCAAAACUCAGAGCUCCUGUAGUAUAAUCAGUACCAGUUACGGUACUGAAUUAAAAAUGUUCAGAGGGAUAUUCUCACAAGUUAAGCUACUUUGGAGAGGAUGAAAUAUAGGUCAGAUAACCUGGUAGUAUAAGACUGACAGCGUAAUGCUAUGAAAGUGAAAUGUGAUUGUAAAUUCCCUUUUCGUUGCAGCUGCUAGUUGCUAGCACAGCCCACACCAGGAUUUAAGUGCAUGCACAGUCACUCUGGUGAGGAGGUGUAUGGGUAUGGGCUCAGACCUUUCCCUUGGCAGCCUCUGCACAUUGGCAUAAUUGUAUAGCUCCCUGCAGUGGCCAAAUCCGGAUGGUUGCCACAUGGCAUGUGUGCCUGAUUCCAGCUACACUUCAUCUCCUGCAUUCACAUGCAUUGCAGUGUUUCGGUAAAGAACCAGUCGAGCUAUCUGGCAGGAUAUUCCCAUUUCACUUCCAGAACAAAGCAUGCCACCUGGCACACAUGAACACCUGCCCCAGGGGAGCAGCUGAGCAACCACAUGUGGUGGGAGCUGUGUCCCUAAUCCCUCAAAACAUACCUAGAGACCAUGGCAAUAGAUGCAGUAUAAGAAAACAUGUCGAAUAAAAUUGCAUGAAAUACUGUCUGCUCCCCCAGAACUUCAUGGUUAUUUUGUUAUUGACUUCAAAUCCAUCUAGAAUUCUGCCCAUGCAAUUUCAAAGUAAUUGGAAUAAAGUCUUUUUCUUCUUUUUCUUCUAAAUGAAGGCUUUUGCUGUAUUUAACUACGUAAUUGUACUGGUUACCACUGUAGUAUCGGACUGAAGAAGGACUCCAAACUCAUGUUGCUGCUGAGUACAGAACCAGUCACCUCUCCAAGCCUCUUACGCCCUGUGAGAUUUUAUGGGUGUAUCUAAAACUUACCUGAUCAAAAUCUGCACUAAUAUAUUCAAAUGCCAUACAUCUCUGCAUCUGUGUCCACUGACCUCUUAUUUUUAGUCCUCACCAGUGUAGGUACAUAUGGAUUUUCUUAUUUAUUACCUUAAUUAAGUUUAUUAUAGCUCAAGAUAUGUUUAGCAAAUUGUAAUUACUAGUAUUUCUUUAUAUGUAACAGUAGUUUUCAUCAAUCUAUCUUUUCAUUUCCAAUUCCUCAGACAUGUUUCUGGCACUCCCUUAGAGUACAAAAUAUAAUUACAAGUCAUUUGGUAAUUUUAUUAGUCUAUUCUCAGAAGACUAUGGGAUCCAUAUCUUCUAGACUUGUUCAUCUUUAUAUAUUCUGUUUCUUCGUGUAUUCCCUUACCUGCCAGAUCACCAGAUAUAGUGACAUAAUCUUCAUUACUUAAUUAUAAUUAUUAGUCAAGGGGUUUCUACUCUACACAUACAGCUUCCAAACAAAAUGUCUUGAACAGAUAAGCAACAGGUUUAAAAAAUAAACCAUUUGACUCUGGGAAUAUUUUGUGCUGGCCAUCUAAGAGCAGUAAGAGAAUAAAUAGUCAUUCGUUAUCUGGAGAAUGCUGUGUAAUGAAUGACAGAAUAAAGGCUGUAGGUGAAUUUGUUGCUGAAUUAUAUUCACUCUUGAAUGCACUGCAAUUCAAAGUACUUUUUUUCCUUCACAGGUAUACGCAUGCAUAAUUUAUAUUAAUAUAAAAAAAAUGUUUAUAUGUUCCUUUUGUGGGCUGGGGGGUUUUCUUGGAGAGGAAAAAACAAAGGCGAGCGGGGAGGGGGCAAGCUUGAAGAUCCUGUGAAACCUAAUUUGCAAACAAUUUGCACUAGCAGCUGUAAAUUUCACUCCAGAGAUUUCCAGGUGCUUGGUGCACAUCUAUACAUGGAGAGCAGUUCCCAAGAGAUGAAGCUUGAUGGCUGCAUUAAAAUGAAUCAGAGGCCUUAUCUCAAUGCAGGGUAUUUGCAUAUCUCCUCUUCAUGAAUCCUUACUUCAUGGAUGUGUCUUCUGCUUUUGUGCUGCCCGCAGUUUUUUAAAAAGAAUGCAGAUGAAUAGGCUUUCUAUUAAUGAGUUGCAAUAAGAGCCUGCUGAAUUUCCUGACAUCCAUUUCAUGAUUGUACUUGUCUUUUAUAGAUGCGGUUCUUUAAUUGAGUUUACCAUACAUUUUAUAGCAUACUAGAAAUCAGAGUCCUUGAGCUACUGGCACCAUGCAUUCCUGCUGUGAGACAUCCACCAUCCACAUCCUCUCAGUUUACAUGGAAAAGAUGAGCGCUAUUUCAUUCUUUACCUUGGAAACUGGACUCAGUAAGAUUUGGGUUAUUUUUUUUCUCACAGUCGCUGAGAAUUACUGUGGCAUACUCAUAAUGUUAUCUCUCAAUUUAGCCUCCUGUCGAACAAGAUUGGUUUGUGCCAGCUCCUGGGGAAGUCCUGUCAGCAGCACUCCAAUCUUGAAUUAUUCUUGACCUCCCUUUCCUAUUUCCUUCUGGCAAAAUCUAAAUGCCACAGAUUGUCAAAGGUCUUACAGGCAGAAUGGGCCAUCCUGAGCAGAACUGUGUGUACUCAGAGUGAGAAUUUCACCUGGGUUUGUUUAAUGCGUCGUUGCAGUUGGCUGCAAACCAAAAGCUACGUGAUACCUUUCACUUCUCUGUGGUGCUGGUUGGAAGAGCAGAAAAUAAGUAACUAAUGAGCAGAACUCUAGAGCUCACUGGAAAGUUGCCGCAAUAUGUGGAGAUUUUAAUGGCCUUUCCUUUCUCAGGGACACCUUACCCCUCUGAGCAAGAGGUGCUGGGCUGGUGCCAAGCCCAGGGAAAGCCAGCAAAGUCCCUGCGAGCAGCAGCAAAGCUGAAAGUUGUCUCGGUUUUAUCUCUUCCCACAGGAGGAAAUUGCUAGACCAAGACAGGGAUUUGUUCCUGCUUUAUGUUCGUGUUCAGCCUGGGAAGCUGAAGUCUUCCAAGGAAGCAACCAAGUAUCAGCAAGCAGAUUCUGUUCCUUACUCCUGAGAAGCUAAAUCCAAAGAAAGAAAGACAAGAUUUUCUUCUGAGAUGUGGUGUGACUACAGGUUCUGCUAUUUGUUUAUGUUGUUCCACCAGUUUACAUAGUCACAGCUGCUUAUUUAGUACAUAGGUAAUCCUGUAGCAAAAUAAUGUUAACACAGUCAUUCUUAUGACACUUCUGGGUCUGGUAUUAAGGAUACCAACAGAGGAGUGAGGGUAUCCCCGUGCUUCUUGGUCUUUGCCUGCCACUGAGCUCCACAGUGCCAGAAGAGUUCAGCUGCCUUAGGUGAUGACAAUAAGGAAAGAACAUUUACUGCAGGUUGUAGGUACUCAUCUAAGCACUAUGUGGUGUGCUGUAAUUGCAGGCUGCAUUAGGUCAUGCUUUGUCACAAGGCUUAUUCCAAACAGAAGUCGCUUCCAUUGGAUUGUCCUUGCAGCAGCAACGUAAAUGAACAAGCUUGGGCAGCUUUGCCAGAAAUGUCUAAAACUAAAUAAUUAGUCAACAGCCAUUCAUGCAGCAUAUGACAGAAGUGCUAUUAUUGUCAGGGAGAGUACGGAGCCUGUGAGUACAACUCACCACUCAAUCUGAACAGUUAGUUGAACAUAACACGCUUGUAAUAAUAUUUAAAGCUUAAUAUCUGAUGCGUGUAUGAGAGUCCAAAUUCACAUGACAUACAAGAAAAAAACAACGACUAGUACAUGAGAGACAUGAAUUCCUUUUAAGUUAGCUAAGGAAAUUGGCAGGUAGUUCUUAAGAACUUGAUUGUAUACAAAUCCCUUUCUGCUGCUGGAAAUCCAGCAGCAAUGUUCAAACUUUAGGCAAAAGAGCUCACAAGCUGCCUACAGACCUGUAGUCCUCAGGUAAUAAAGGAGGGGGAAAGAGCCCUCACUUAUUCCAAGUGCUCUGCAGCAUUUUGAGAAGAAAAACGAAUGUGAAUCCUAAGGAUAGUGGGCCACAGUGCUGAUACAGCAUGCCCUACAGAAGUAAGUUGGGUGCAAGGCCAUGAUGAUGCAGCUACGCUGUCAUGGGUUCCAGACACACUCCCUUUGCAGUUAGCUGAGACAGUUAGCUGGACUGUUUUCCACUGCCCAGUGUACAAAAUGCCCAAUGUUUGUAUAGCCCUUAGCAAAAUAGGACCCUAUUCUUGAUUGGCCUCAAAACAGCACAGUGAUUCUAAUUAUAAAUACCAGGGAAAUAAAUGAUCACAGAAGGCAUUUGAUGUAUUUUUUCCAGCAUGCAACAGCAGUACCAAUACGUACAAGAGCACAAUGCAAUCAGAUUCUGAUGUAUGCAAUAUAUUUUUAACACAAUGGACUUCAUCCAGACUUUUCUGGCACCAUCUUCUAUUGUCUUUCAUCACUUUGCAGUGAAGUCAUGUAGGGUACUCCAGACUUGAGGUGGCUGUGGUCUAGUGCUGAGAUUAAUGCUGAAUAAAAAUCAAGUUAGUUAGUAGAGCUUAAAUAACUGUUAGGCAAAUGAAUAUUUGUUUGUGUAAAGAAACAACUGCUGAAUAGAUGAAGUAAGUCAUUUUUGUCUCUGUCUUCCUAUAGUGUGCUGCAAAAUAAAUGCAGAUCUGAGAGAGAGACCCACUUCUGCUGCUGCCCACUCCUUUCUACUUUAAUAUUGUAAAUAAAUGAUUUGGAAAAAAACAAUAUCAUAAAAUAAUAAUAAUUAGAAUUCCACUGAUGUCCCUUUUAUGAUAAUAUAUUUGAGUUGUUCUUCAAAAAUCAAAUGAAGAAACUUCAGCCACAGUAGAGGUCUUAACCAAAAUUAAAGUCUUGUACUGAAAAUAUCAGCAUUUCUUAUGAGCUCACCUGGAGGGAGAUUAUGGGGCAACAAGUAAUGAGAUGGGUAAAGGACUGCUAUUCUUACUUCAUUUGGCCAAGAUCUACUCAACAUCUUGGAUUGUCCUCGUUUUUGUUGUGUAUUAAAAUGGUGCUAAGUGAGCUCAAGCAGGGCUUGGUGUUACAGACACUGUGAGACUGUCUCCUGGCAUUUUACAGUCAGAGGAGGAGUAGAGAGAAAGGAAUGAACUGGAGAGAACUUUUACAAUGCUCAUAAAACUGAUGUUAGAUCUGUGGGUGGCAUUUGCUGACAGCAUAGUCUGAAGGGACAAACAAACCAAAGGCAGAAGUGGUGAGGAAGGGAAAUGAAGAGAAAAAAAAGAGCAAGGAUGGAAAGAAGGAAACACAUGGUAGGCAAUGAAGUAAAGGUGAAGUGGCUGUGAAUAGCUAAUCACUGAAAAGAAAACAGUGUUGAAAGUAGAAGUACAUGGGAAAAAGCAGCACACAGAUAGAAUCAGUGAGUUGCUGAUAAUUCUUAGUCAAGCUGCUUUGGUUGCUUCACAUGCCAGCCUUGAGCUUCAGGCAGAAGAACAAUUGACUGUUACGACAGUCUGGAUUUAGUUCAAGGUGAAUUACGUGUGCAAUUUCAGGAUAAUUUAUCUUCGCCUGCCUUAAAAUCCAAAAGAAAGACACCGCCAACUUUUGUUCUAGCUUAACUAUUAAUUCUAUUGAUAAAAUUUUGUUAGUCAUCUUCAGAUUUAAAAAAAAAUCCAUGCAGUCAUAGUUAGAAUUCUAUGUAUAUAGAUACGAUUUACUAGGCACUCUUCUGACACAGGGAAAAUGAUACCAUUCCCCUAAACAUCAAAGAGAUUAAGACAGACAGCUCUUGGCAGAGGCCAACAGAAGGAGCAGCAAAGUAGGAGUAAGAUUUUUUCUCGGAUAACUGUGCCAGGAAGGAAAUCUUUCAGUGUUAAAGUUCAUAGAUUUGGUGAGCUUGCAAAGGGGGCUACAUGGGAAGAUGUUGUUUGACAUCGUAAGCCUCUUGUCUGGACCUACUAACACAUUCUCCUCCCUGGAGUUGAAGAAUCCAGGUCACCUUGUAAGUAGGCAAACUGCUGCUGCAGAAGUUUCUCCUUAGGUCGUUACAUCAGUAUCUCACCUUUUGCUUGCCAAGCUUGUUUAGUACCGCGGCAGGAGUCUUCUGAAAGAGAUUGCUGUGCAUCUUUGAGGACAAUGUUAAAAUUAAGCAAAUGAUGCCAGAGGUUUGUGUUUUGCUCUCUGCUGCCAUGAAUGAUCAGCAUGGGCAUAUGAUAAAGGGUAACCACUUAUUUGUGUGAGUGACUGAAAGCAGUUUUGCCAACGGGGAUGUUUGGAACAGCAUUUAAUCUGAAAAGAUAAUUAAUGUCUUCUUUGUUGUGCAACAGAAGCCUAUGGAAAGAGAAUCAUAUUGCAUCAUAUCUCUCAAUAACAUACAACUGGGUGGCUGAAAUUGGGUUUAACUAGACAGACAAAAAUAACUUCGGGAGGAGCAGAGAAAGGUUAUGGGUCAUGUGAUGCUGAUUUGUUUGUUUAAAGUUGACCUAUCCCUGGAGCAGAGAGUUUAAUGGGUUCCAGUAAGGACUUGCACCCAGCAUGCAGAGCUGCAAUUACUGUGGGAUGGUUCGAAGUCUGUGUGUGUGUGUGAGGCCUGGGUCAUGUCUGUUCGUGGGGGCAGCAGUAGCUUUCGCAGAGACUACAGAUCAGACUUCCUGAGCAUCCUUCCACUGCCCUGUGAUUGACAAUCAAUAAAAAGAGACAUGAGAUACACUGGGUGAAAAACAGGGCAUCUGAGAUUUCACUGAAGUUGUUCAAACUUGCAAGUAGAAAAAGAAAAGGAGUUUGUUGGCUAAGACAUUCUGAAUACUUUUCUCAUUUGUAUAAACCUGUAUGUAUAAACCUGUAAAUAAAGGUUAUGUUUCCCUUAAA